GUAAUAAGUGCUUUAUGGCACUUUUUAAAUCCAUAUCCACCUUGUGUGCAAUGUCAGUCGAUCUUCUUCAUGGAGAUCGACCAAACAUCAACCUUUAUCUUUUAACUCUUUGUCUGAAAAAUAUUAUGAAUAAACAAUUCAAAAUA
rnacentral:misc_RNA from 1 species